rnacentral:tRNA from 1 species
GGGUGAAUGAUCGAGUGGUUUAAGGUGCCAGUCUUGAAAACUGGAGUAGAGUUUAAUUCUCUACCGUGGGUUCGAAUCCCACUUCACCCU